UGGGGAAUUUUGGACAAUGGGGGAAACCCUGAUCCAGCCAUCCCGCGUGUGCGAUGAAGGCCUUCGGGUUGUAAAGCACUUUUGUCAGGGAAGAAACGGUUCUGGCUAAUAUCCGGAACUGAUGACGGUACCUGAAGAAUAAGCACCGGCUAACUACGUGCCAGCAGCCGCGGUAAUACGUAGGGUGCAAGCGUUAAUCGGAAUUACUGGGCGUAAAGCGUGCGCAGGCGGUUCGGAAAGAAGGAUGUGAAAUCCCAGGGCUCAACCUUGGAACUGCAUUCUUAACUACCGGACUAGAGUAUGUCAGAGGGGGGUAGAAUUCCGCGUGUAGCAGUGAAAUGCGUAGAUAUGCGGAGGAAUACCGAUGGCGAAGGCAGCCCCCUGGGAUAAUACUGACGCUCAUGCACGAAAGCGUGGGUAGCAAACAGG
rnacentral:rRNA from 2 species